rnacentral:snoRNA from 1 species
UGGCAUCCUUGAAAACCCCUCAGUAACUCUCGAUAGUUUCUGGGACAAGAAAGAAUGCUAGAAUAAGCUUAGAAUUCCAAAGCUGAGAGUCAUGACAGUUGCUCUUUGCUAUUUCACCUCUAAGACAAUG